GCUCGAGUGGCGAACGGGUGAGUAACACGUGAGUAACCUGCCCUUGACUUUGGGAUAGCUUCAGGAAACUGGGUCUAAUACCGGAUAGGAGCCAUCUUUAGUGUGGUGGUUGGAAAGUUUUUCGGUGUGGAUGAGCUCGCGGCCUAUCAGCUUGUUGGUGGGGUAAUGGCCUACCAAGGCGGCGACGGGUAGCCGGCCUGAGAGGGUGUACGGCCACAUUGGGACUGAGAUACGGCCCAG
rnacentral:rRNA from 1 species